rnacentral:tRNA from 1 species
GCCUGGGUGGCUUAGUUGGUUAAGCAUCUGACUUUGGCUCAGGUCAUGAUCUCACAGUCCGUGAGUUCGAGCCCCACCUUGGGCU